rnacentral:rRNA from 1 species
GACGAACGCUGGCGGCGCGCUUAACACAUGCAAGUCGAACGAGGUGCUUGUUUUCGGAUGAGUUACCUAGUGGCGCACGGGUGAGUAACGCGUGGGAACCUGCCCUUUGCUACGGAACAACCACGGGAAACUGUGGCUAAUACCGUAUAAUGCCCUUCGGGGCCAAAGAUUUAUCGGCGAAGGAGGGGCCCGCGUUAGAUUAGCUUGUUGGUGGGGUAACGGCCUACCAAGGCGAUGAUCUAUAGCUGGUCUGAGAGGACGAUCAGCCACACUGGGACUGAGACACGGCCCAGACUCCUACGGGAGGCAGCAGUGGGGAAUCUUGGACAAUGGGGGCAACCCUGAUCCAGCGACGCCGCGUGGAUGAAGAAGGCCUUAGGGUUGUAAAGUCCUUUCAC